UACGUAGGGCGCAAGCGUUGUCCGGAUUUAUUGGGCGUAAAGAGCUCGUAGGCGGUUCGAUAAGUCGGACGUGAAAUCUCCACGCUCAACGUGGAGGGGCCGUUCGAUACUGUCGUGACUCGAGUCCGGUAGGGGAGUGUGGAAUUCCCGGUGUAGCGGUGAAAUGCGCAGAGAUCGGGAGGAACACCCGUAGCGAAGGCGGCACUCUGGGCCGGUACUGACGCUGAGGAGCGAAAGCGUGGGGAGCAAACAGG
rnacentral:rRNA from 1 species